UCAAAUGAAUUGACGGGGGCCCGCACAAGCGGUGGAGCAUGUGGGGGAAUUNGAUGCAACGNGAAGAACCUNNCCUGGUCUUGACAUACACAGAAUCUNGUAGAGAUACGAGAGUGCCUUCNGGAAUUGUGAUACAGGUGCUGCAUGGCNGUAGUCAGCUCGUGUCGUGAGAUGUUGGGUUAAGUCCCNCAACGAGCGCAACCCUUGUCCUUAGUUACCAGCGGGUUAAGCCGGGAACUCUAAGGAUACUGCCAGUGACAAACUGGAGGAAGGCGGGGACGANGUCAAGUCAUCAUGGCCCUUACGACCAGGGCUACACACGUGCUACAAUGGUAGGUACAGAGGGCAGCUACACANCGAUGUGAUGCGAAUCUCAAAAAGCCUAUNGUAGUCCAGANUGGAGUCUGCAACUCGACUCCNUGAAGUNGGAAUCGCUAGUAAUCGCGGAUCAGAAUGCCGCGGNGANUACGUUCCCGGGCCUNGUACACACCNCCCGUCNCAC
rnacentral:rRNA from 1 species